ensembl:ncRNA K11D9.6 ncRNA
GUAAAGAGAUGUUUUUAUUUUACUUUACACCGGGUCCUCUCUCUCUGCCAGCACAGCUCAGUGUUGGCUGUGUGCUCGGGCUCCUGCCACCGGCGGCCUCAUCUUCUUCUUCUUCUUCUCUCCUGCUCUCGCUUAUCACU